CCCCAAGAGGCUAUCAUUGCCAACGUUUUCCCAAGUCACUUCUAGGAGGUCAACUGACUCCUAGGCAAGUCUUUGGUUACACUGCUUCAGUUUUCUGUGGCUACACUGUCCAAAUGGCACCCACUGGUCACACAUGGCUAUUUGAGACAAACUAAACUUAGAACUAAAAUCUUCCUCUUUAGUCACAGCAGGCAAAGCAGGAGGCAAACAGCCAGCCAGAAUCCAUAGCCAGAAGCACAGCAGAUAUUGAAUAUUUCUAUCAUCUAAAAAUAACUCAUGGACAGCAGUGGUCUAGGUUCCUGCUGUCUGGUUUUUCCUUCAGGGAGAAUCACUUGCUGUACCAAUAUCCAAAGAUUUAUUUUUAAAACAACUUUACCAAAAUAUGACUUACUAUCCCCUAAAUUAAUCCAGUUUAAGUCUACAAUGCAAUGGUUCCCCAUAAAUCUACCCAAGUUCAUCGCUAGACCACGAAACAAAAAAAAGAGAGUGUAUGCAGUUACAUAAAAUAGUAUGCAACAGUAAUGACCACUGCAUAAUUAUACUGCACUACUUUUGAAUUCUUCAUAAUUCAUGCCUUUUAUUGCUAGUUGUACAAAAAUACAGUAUUCUAGAGUUGAAAAAAUAUUAUACAGUAUUUCAUUGAGACUUUAAUAUUUUUGUAUCUUUUGCUAGUAUUGUUAGAUUCUUUAUGAGAGUUUUACUUUGUGGAAUUUUUUUUUUGCCAAUCUAGUCACUAUUUGAUGCCAGUUCAACGUUCUCAGAAUUUUGUCGAAAACAUUACCACAAUGAUAUAGUGAUACUCAUUUUCUUUAGCCAUUUACAUAUGUAUAUACACAUAUAUGGGAAGUUAUAUAUACAUAUUUUUAUGCUAUACUGUUAGAAUCCAAUUCUAUUAUACUUCAACAUAUACAGUUUGCUCAAUCUGAUUUCUGUGAAUGUCAUCAGUCAUGGGGAAAUGUUAAGAGCCUGAAUAAACAUGGACAAUAUUUGCAGAAUGCACAUAAAAUUGAGGAUGGUAUAUAAGCAAAAAUGUGAAGUAUAUCACUUACAGCCUUCAUAUAGAAUGCACUUUAAAAUGUUUAAUAGAUGAAAAAUAUUUCAAUUAUCUUUACCUACUUUUUGGUUUUUUUCUUCAAAAUGUGUCUCCUAGAUGAUUUGAAUUAUAUAUGCCGCUCAAGAUUCUUUUGACAACUGUAACCUAAUGCCUUAAAUGUGUUUCUGAUAUUUCUAUUAAGUUGAUCACUGUUCAGUAACUGUACCAAGUUGAUAGGUGUAAUUUUAUUAUCACUUUCAGAAAGUAAAUUUCAUGGGUGAGUAUACACUUUUGAUUCUAGCUCUUGGGUGGCAUAGGCAGGUGGAUCUCUUUUUUGAGGUCAACCUGGUCUACAUAGCAAAACCCUAUCUUAAAAAAUCAAUCAAUAAAUAAGCAAAUAAAUAAAAAGAUUCUAAAAUAUUUGAAAUUCGUAUGAACACAACCACAUCUUUAAUAACAAUUGAGUUUUAUUGCAGAUAAUUAGUAUAAUUAAUAUUUACAAAAUGUUACAUAGUGUCAUAUAGGAACUCAAUUUCAUUGUAAAUUAAACCUGCUUUUCUCUGUUCAUUGGUUGCUCUUAGUUAACAUAUUCAUACACAUAUACAAUUUAUUCCAAUUAUUCUCUCCCCCACAUCAUCUCAUCCCUUUAUGACUGAAACAUACAUAGACUUCUAAAUUUAGGCUUUCCAAUGUGUGAUUUCUCUUUUAUUUAUUAUACAUUCUUUUACUUUUCCACCUACAUUUUAUGGUAUCAUAAUAAGAAACCCAUUCUGUCAUUAGCAUUAUCACAGUGUUUGGUAGGAGACAUUCACAUUCUUCAGUAGCUUGUCAUCAGUGCAAGAAAUGACAUCGAGGUCUCUCUCUGUGUCUCUGUCUCUCUCUGUCCCUGUCUCUCUCUGUCUCUGUCUUUGUCUCCCACUCCUAUGUCUCUAUGUCUCUCUGUCUCUCUCUCUAUCUCCUCCCCAAUUGUUUUGCUUUCUAAUAUAAGGUCUCAGACUGUAGUCUAGGCUAGCCUUGAACACAAGGCAAUCCACCACCCUCAGCCUUGUGAGUGUUGGGAUUCCAGGCAUACACCAUCUUGCCCAGUGAAUUUUAUGACUCCCUUAUAUCCCUUUACCAUUUCUGAAUUAUUUUUAAUAUUGCUGUGACCCUUUUCUAGCUUCUAGAUGUAGAUACAUUUACUUGAUUAGAAGGUUUUAGUUUUUAAAGAUUUAUUUAUUUAUUUAUGUACAUGAGCACUCUGUUUGCAAGUGUGCCUGCAUGUCAGAAGAGAGCAUCAGACAGAAGAGGGCAUUGGAUCCCACUAAAGAUAGUUGUCAGUCACCAUGUGGUUGCUGGGAAUUGAACUUGGGAGCAUUGGAGAAUUAGCACUCUUAACCACCAAGCCGGCUGGCUCUCCAGCCUGAAAAAAAAGAUAUUAAAUUUCAUUCUUUUUUGUGUUUGUUUGCAAUCUUUCUUCUGGAGAACAUUGUGAUGGAAUGUCCAAAUGGUACUUAGUGGCAGUUGGUGUAGACGAAGCCAUACUUGUGUUGCUAAUUUUUUAUAAUCAAGUACACAGAUACAAACAGUCUACUCCAGGGAGAAUCUUGACUGUUUCUCUGUUGGAUGGGUUCCCUCCUCUUUUUCUUUACUUGUAAAAUGUUACUGAGGUUUCGUACUUUUAUGAUGAAGUUGGGGCUCAAAAAAUUCAUACUGUUUUGAAGAAAGCAUGCUGUACCUUAAAACUUUAUCUUAGAGCAAUUUAAGUAGUAUAGGAAUGACUUAUUUUUUAAAAGCUUUGGAAGAACUCAUAACUAAUGUACUGGGAAAAUAUCACCUAGCUCACCCAACUGUUUUCUGUUUCUGACUCUGUGUUUUUAUUACAUGCCUGUGCAAAAUCAGGAAAGCAUGACUAUUAAAUCAAUUAGUCAUUCACUUGCAGCUCAGAAUAAUGGCUUUUUGUUGGUUCCUUUGGUUGCAGGCUAGGGAUGAAACCCAGGCCAAACCCUUUACCACUAAGCUAAAUAACUAACACUGAACAGUGUUUCUUAAAAUGUAAUAAAAAUCAAUUUAAUGUUCCGCUGAUCACAGUACCUUUUUGCUGUUUUUUUAGUGGUUAAUAGUCUGCCAGUUUGUCCUGAUUUGUCAGAAUGCAUACUACUUUUGUGUUGGAUUAUUUUAUAUGAUUGUGUUUUUACUUUCUUACUGUGUUUUGGCUCAUUAAUUCCGUGCUAGUCAUUUUGCAUACAGAGUUAAUAUGUGUUCGUUUUUACUCUAGUUUCCUUCUGAGAGGACUAGUGUGGAACAUUGGCUUUUAUUUUUGUGACCUUGUCUCUGUCGAACACUAUUCUUUUUAUUUAAACGUAAAUGUAAUGGGAGAAUGUGCUGUCAUAGAAUUGAUGCUCUUGUUUCUUCUUUCAGCAGAAGGGCAUUUGUCUAUUUCUAUAUACAAUUAGUUUGUGUAACUAAAGAGCAUGUUUUAACCCUUUGUUCUCGGUAUACUCUCCAUAUGUUGUGUAGUCUGCUUUACUUCUCCUGUGCCCCUGUCAGCCGUGGACUUUCUUUUCAAUUUGUCUGAAGAUUCUGUCAUAUAUUAUAGUGCCUUCACCUGCAGUCAUAUUUCUCAGGGUCCCCUGCUGUUCCCAUAUGUGCUUACAGAGGGAGCUUCCAGGAUGUUAUGACCCACCCAUAGGUUCCUAUUCUCAGCAUUCAGUUUAAUUCUUGGCUGAUCAUCUGCUCUCAGUGUCCUGGGAUUCUUAGUCAUCUCAGCACUUGCCCUUUGCAGAGACCCCUCCUGCCUGAGUCAUGUAGCCAACCCUGUGCAGUCAAUGGCCUUGCUGAGGUACAUUUUGUCACAGGCUGAUUGGAGAUACUUUGUUGGACUUCCUAGAUAAGCCAUUGCAUCAUCUAAAUGAAAUAGGACUCUGGCAGGCAGUUUGGGGAAAGUUCUCUCGUUAGCCUCCACCCCGACCAGUGUGAAAUUAGUACAAGCAGUUCUCUCUGUGUCUCCUUCAUUUAAUCUCAAAUGUUCCCUUGUUGCUUCCAGAGGAGCUUGAGGUCAGAUGUCCACCAGAUGGGACCGAGCUCAAGCCCCACCAGUUCUUUAGUUUGGAGCAGCUGGAGUAAAAGGAAGCUCGGGUUUUAAUCUUUUUCUUCCAGAAUCCUUCUGCCUUAGUUACAUCCCACCAUCAUCCUGGAGGUUCAAGACUCACACUCCUUUAAAUACAGGAGGAGUGGAGGAGGCAGCUGAGUCUUCUCUGUGCAGUUCAGAGAUUGGAGAUGUCUUUGGUAGAGUAGGGUGGGGUUUAAGCUACUCCGGAGUGUAAGAGAGAUCUCACUUCUUUGUCAGGACACUCAUCAUCCUGACUCCUUAUUUCUCUCCAUAAAAUGGGAAAAGAGCAGUAACAGCCCAUGUGUAUUUGUGUGAGUUAAGAGAGGUGACUCUGAGAAACCUUUAAACGAAACCAGGUGCCUGAUACAAACUCACUGCUUCUUUGCUGAGCUACAUGGACGAGCCUCGAGCUUACCAAGAUGGUGAUGGUUCCUGGAUAUUCGGAAGUAUCUUGUUGUCCUGUUGUUCCAGGGAGGAAAAUGGGGAAAGAACAAGAAGAUGGGCAUUCUCCAAACCUCAGUGCUCUGGUUAAGGUAUUAACUAUCCAGGUGACUGUCGUGGACUGUUCUGGAAAUGAUGGUCCUGUCUACAACUACCCAUUCUAUUGACCUGUACUUUAGUGGAUGGCGUCCUUGAAAUUGAUCAGUGGUGACAUAAACGGGGUUGGCUCAAGAAGAGCUGCAUAAUUUCAAUUAUGCUUUAGCAUCUUGUCUGUGAAAUGGGAACAAAUGUGUGCCUGCUCUUGCUAUGCUGUUUUUCCUUCUGUCACAAGGGCGUGGUGUCAGCUCAGAGGGACAUAAGCAUGCUUUGCGGACAAGCUGGAUGUGAACUACUCUCUGAUGCCCUACUCACCCCAGAAAUCUUAGAUGUUCUUAGAAUUCUUGAAUUCUUAGAAUUCAAGCCUCUUACCUGAGGCUUGGAAUCAGCCGCACAUGCCAGGAGGACCACUAAUACACCUUUCAGUCCUCUCUGCUGUUCUGUUCUUGCCUGCAUUCGAUGACUGAGCUGGCUGCACAAGGUAGGCCCUAGUUCUCAUAUGUUCUUUCAUUUUCAUCCUGGGAAUAUUCCCAACCUGUGAUCCUUGUUACACCAACCUGCCUUUCAGAAUUGAUGAGUGCACUUCUCUAAGACAGUCUCUGUUUGCUAAGCAGGCACCUCUCUUUUUCAAAGAGAUCAUCUGUUUCUCUCAGGGUUCUAGUUCUCCCUCUUUGGAAUCAGCAGCUUAGAUUUAGAAGACUAAAGCAGUUUUUAUUUUUUAGGGAUUCUUGUUUUUUUUUUUUUCCUUGUUUCUUUUCUUUUUUUCACCUUACAUCCCAAUAAGCCCCUCAUCCCUCUUCUCCUCCCAGUUCAACACUUACAAAUCCUUCCCCCACUACCUCCUCCUCCUCCCUUCUUCUUAGAGAAGGGGAAGUCCCACUUGGGUACUGCCACACCCUGGAACCUCCAUUCAUAACAAGACUAAGUGCAUCCUCUCCCACCGAGGCACAAACAGGCCGUCCAGUUAGGGGAAGAAGAACCAAUAGCAGGCAACAUAGUUGGCAACAAUCUCUACUCCAAUUGUUAGGAGACCCACAUGAAGACCAAUUAGCACAUCUGCUACUAUAUGUAGGAGGCCUAGGUCUAGCUCCCUGCAUGCUCUUUAUUUGCUGGUUCAAUCUCUGUGAGCCCCUCUGAGUCCCAGUUAGUUGACUCUGUAGUAGAAGACUAAAAUGUUUUAUAGGUCAAUAUGGAUUCAUAAGUGGAUGUGCAAAGAACUCUAACUUCUAUGAAAUUUACAAUGCCAUGAAAACACUUCAGCAAAAAUUUUGGCAUACUAUUUACAAUCUCUUGAACACCAUUCCUCACAGAACAGGCGUGAUGGAAAUCCCGUAGUAACUGAAGAGGCAUAGGCAUGAAGGAGGAGAAAUACUUGCUUACUCUAUUGUUUGUAAGGAAAAAAACCUCUUAACUGAGCUUAAAAAUCCGGUUGCGAGCCAAGAAUUGCAUGUUCCAAGAACAUGUCUCUUCCUGUUACCAUAUCAAGGUACCAAACCGUUGGCUGCUUGUGGAGCCAGUAUCUUUCUAAACCACGUGUGAGCAGGAGUUUGUGGGAGACAAGUACUUAGGUCAGGGAUCAAUCAGAACCUGGUACAGGUCUUGGGUCUCUGGCAUCAUUAGUUACAGAUAUGCCAAGAUGCUUUGGGGAAGGUUUUAAUUUAAAUCCCAAGUUUAUUUCAACGAAAUCUCCCUGAUACGAUCUGUUGGGAAUUUAGAGUGAACUAGACAAGUGUUCAUUUUGGAGGGCAAUUGUGAAUUAGACAGUAAGUCCAUAAACAACAACCAAACAAACAAACAACUAAAACAACAACCCAUUCUGGGUGUAUGACUCUCAGGAUGCCCCUACUCAGUUCAGAGCUCUCAGUGAAAGGGUUGAAGAAUCUUUGUUGCUACAUCAAUUUUUUUAAUUGACAUGAAAAUGCAGAAGAUUAGAGUCCACUACAGGAGUGGCAGGAUCCUUUAGGUGAUUAGUGAAAACAUCACGUUUAGAGAACUCCUACAGGAAGACCCCUUCAUUCUGUCCUGCUGGGUUUAGCAGUCCAGGGACAUAUAAGGAAUUGAUUUCUGUAUGUGAAAUGGGUUUGCUCCACUGAGGAAGUUCAGUGGGAGCAGGAUGGCAAGGGACCCGGUUGUGAGUGGGGGGCUGGCAACAAGGUGCAGAACGAAGACCAUGGCCCGGUGCCCUGCGGCCUGCCUGUGGGAUGUGAGCUAGCUGCCCCCUCAGGAUGCCUUCAGGUGAGGACAGGUGGGGGUGGCUUGUGCCCUGCUGAGCCGGUUUAGGAGAUUGUCAAACACAAUCCCAAUGCUCGUAGUGGAGCCUGAACAGGUCCCCGCAGCCUGUAGGGGGCAGCGUGCAGCUCAGCAGGCGAUGGGCGGGCAGAUCAUGGUGUGCCUGGGCCUCCGAAGAGCCACGAGAGGGGACUGAGGGGUCUUGGUGGAGCCCGGACCUCCGCGUUACGCGCCUCCCCGCGUUGCCCGUGUUGCGGAAUGGCUGCAUGUAUCCUCCCCACCCCGGCUCCAUCGAGCGUGAGCCUGGACUGAGGGCACACAGAGCUCUUCGAUGAGCGUGGGACCUUAAGGCACUGGGAAUUCGUAGGCCAAAGAGGUGAUUCUGCCUGCAUGAUGUCCUCCUUGCUGGAGGCGAGCUCUUUCCAGGCGCCACAUCGCGAUCAAAAAGAGAAAGAAAAAAAGAAAAGAAAAAGUGGAAGAAACAGCCAGGAAGAAGAGAGGAACCUGGUAGCUGGUUUGGUCCAAGCAAAGUGAUUUCCCUGUGCUCUGCUGGAGGCAUAAACUCCUUGAACUGAAAAUAGCCAAGAAAACAACUAUAAUUUCCUCCUUGCUUCCUACAAAGGAUUGAACAAAAAUGCUCAGGCCCUCCCGGGCGGUCAUAAAAAGUUUAAAAUUUCAAAUAUUAUUAAAUAGCUGCUUCUUGCUGUUUUAAUGGUGAUUCAAACAUUGAAGAAGAAAGUUUCUGAGCAGCGAUCCACAGAACUUUCUCAAACUGAGCAGAACUUUGGAGUAGAAGGUUUUGGUAGGAAGGCAUCAUCCCAAAAUGUCAUCAGAACUGGAGGAACUCAAAUUUGAAAUCCAGAAAUGUAAAUUCGAGAGGCAUGAACUUUAUCAAAUCCUGGACCUUUAUAUCUAUGAUGAUUGGGACUACAGGCUGGAUGUUGAAUUGCCAAUACUUCAAUCUGAACAUGCGAUGAGAAUGACGGCUAUGCAAAUGAUGACCAACUCAAUAAGUGAUGCCAUGGAGAGGUACAAGGAGCUCAUACAAGUGAACAGUUCCUACCGCAUCAGGCACUCCCAGCUCCUGUGUGAACAAACUCAAUUGAAGAACCAUAUACAGAUUUUGCUGAAUGAGAACAGAGAACUGCUGGUGGAGCAGUCUGAACUGCCAGCAUCCUAUUUGGAGGCAAAGGGGUUCUGUGAAGAGUCCAGAAUGAACAUCUGUGUCCCCAGUGCCAAGCAGCAGCAGUGUUAGGGGUUGAAACAGGGAUUAAUGGAUAAGAAAAAGAAGAACCCCUGAAGAAGGAAAGACAGGCUACGCUGAUCAGUAUCUGGAUUAGAUGUGCCUUUAACUUACAUCUUCAGGCCUGGUUGGAUUUGUCAGGAUAUAAGGACAUUGACAAUGUAAGCACAUUGUAAAAUGAUAUGCAAUAAAAAUAGAGGUUAUUGAAAUUAAAUUUUAAAAUAAUUCACAAACGUAAGCCAUGAAUAUAAAGUCUUUGCCAGGAAGGGUUGUAGCCUUCAUGAUUUUAUUGUCACCAAUACCAUAGGAAUUGGUACAGAGUAACCAUUAAAUGUUGCAUGAACAUAUUCGGCAAUCAAUACUUUAUGGGUCCCUGAGGAAAAUUCAUUAUGGCCUAGCAUGGCCUCAGUAGGUCUUUCCUAAAGACAUGGCUUAUGUGAACUCUGGCCUUCAACUGUAUAAAUGAAUAUGCACUUGGCUCAGGUAGGAAUUUAAGAUGGGACCUGUUCCUAGGUGGUGAGAAGUCAUUUAAGCCUACAGGGAUGGUGCCUGCUUCUCAGGUGCAUCUUCGAUUGGGAAAUCUAUAGUAAAGCACUCGUCGAAUCAUCAGCCACAGCAAGCCUACCAUUCGCAAAGCUGUGUGAGUAAGAACAUUCUAUUUGUGGCAUUGGCCUCCAACAGCAAUGAUGCCAGAACAAUCACAAGGACUUCUAGCACACCCAGACUGAUCUGCAGAAAAAUUGAAUCCAUUUCCUGGAAAAGGUAAUUUUUAAUUAACCCUUUCAUCCAAUAAGCACAAACAGUAAAAAUGCAGUGACUAAGUCAUCAAAAAAUAUAGCAGAAGGGAAAGUCCUUACUUUAAGGAAUUAAAAAAAUCUAACUGAGGAUAAAAUGCAACGGAUGAGAGCUCAUCUUGGCAAGGACUGUCCAAAGACACAGGACUUAAUUCUGAGAAUGUGAUUUCUAAGGGGAAAAGAAAAUGGGGUGGUUGUUGGCAGCAUAUGCUGCCAAGAUUGACCCUCUGACUUCCCAUCACCUGUGAUGUGUAUCUGCACAAUCAAUCAAUCAAUCAAUCAACCAAUCAGUAAAUAAAUGGUAACAAAGUUUAACGGGGAACCAGGAGUAAUUUAAGGAUUUUUCUCAAUCAAUUUUUUUCAUUGUUGUAGAAGUCCCAUCCAAUGUAGCAAAAACAGAGAAUAUGGGGUUGGAAGGAGAGAUGGCUCAGUCAUGAAGAGCACGUAUUGUUAUGGAAGGGGACCUGAUUUCAAUUCCCAGCACCCACCUUGGUGGCUCACAACUGGCUGUAACUCCAGUUCCACGGAAUCUACCACCCUUGAUUUACCUUCUUAGGGACCAAUGAGUGCACGUGUGGACAUGUGAGUGCAUACACACUUACACAUGCACCAAGCAAGCACAUGCCCUUAAAAUAAAUCUUUAAAAGAUUAAAAAAAUGUGCUUUUAAAAUGCACAAAAAAGAAAUAAAGCUUCUUGAAUGUGGAUGGAAAACCAUUUUUAAAAGACAUCAAAUGAUCAAAUGGGGCUGUCUUGAGAAAGUAGAUCCUGAGGUGAAGAGAAAUUUGACUUGUGUUUUCUUCAUGUGCUUCAGGGCAGACUGCAACUUGUAUUUUACGAAAACUAUGCAUUCCAGUGCUGCAUUCAAAUAUUUCUCAUCAGCAUAAUCACAAAAGAGCAUCCAGGCAAGCCAGAGCCAGAGGCAGGGGUUCAGGGGAGAGGCAGGUUUGAAGAGGGUGGGGGUGGAGUUUAAGUUUGAAGAGCAGGAAGUCCUGAGUAAAAUGGGAAACCUUGCAAGCUACCUGUGAGAGUGCUACCUUGGUGACAAGCUGUCCUUUUCUCACUCAGGUUGGGUGUGUCUGUGUUUGAAUCCUCAGAAGAAAGAUGAAAAUCUGGGUGUGCACAAAGAAGUUCUGUUUAGCACUUAAGCAGGAAACAAUAUAAGCUUGUUUACCUCUUCCCUACGGUUUUGUUUUUAAACAUUCAAAUAAGUGAGAAAUUAGAAUCAAAUACUAUUUCAGUUUCAUCUCAUUUACCAGUUACUAAUUUUGUGAUUUUUUUUAAUAUAUAUUUUUCUAUGAACCAUUUAGAAGUCAGAUGCUGGGAGUGUAAUCGUGGUAGAGCACUUGUCUGGAUGCCUGGUCUAAACCCAGUACAAGGAAGCAAGAACCAGUUAUAGGCACUGUGUCACCUCAUCCUUAACAUGUUCAUGUAUGCAUAUAUGUAUGAUCUAUGUCACAACACACACACACACACACACACACACACACACACAGACACCACAACUUAGGUUUUAUAACACAGUUUUAAUACUUUAGUGAUAACUCUCCAGUUUAGACAGCCUAAGAGGCCAGCCCUGUGAUAAAUACUUUGGAUCAGUUAGCCCACCAAGCCUUUCAGUAAUCUUUUGAGGGAAGUUUGAUUGAUGUUCAUUUUAUUGAUGAAGAGCAUGCUAAGAUUCUCAGCUCUGAUUGGUUCCAACUUCACAGAGAAGACAGGUAUAAUUGAGAGCCUAGAUGCAGGGAGCAACAGGAAGUUGUCAUUGAACUUCAAACAGGGAGAGUCAUAGUAGAAAACUGUUUAGAAAUGUUUCCCAGAAGGAGGUAGGUAGCCUUGAGCUGGAGUGACAGACACAGACUUCUACUAAUGUCAGGCACUGGUGUUCUAAUCAUGGGCAUUUAUACAUUGUUUCUCUUUUCAUAUUCAAAAGUGAAACAGUGUUAUGAACAUUUACUCAUAAAGCUACAGUGGCAGACUCUUCAAUAGAGGUGAUUACAGGUCUAUUUUACUCCAAUAACACCAAGUAUUUUCCUGGUAGAAAACUGUAAGGUACUGAAACUUUUUCUCUAUGUGUAGCUGUAGAGAGACUGUUUAAUUCAGAGGAACCCACAGGGUGAGUCUAUUUAUAGCAUAUCUUUUAUGUUUGCAGAGACAUCUCCCAAAAUGAAACUAUUGAAAAUGCAGAUAAGUGUGGUUUAUAACCCAACAAAACAGGAGUGGAGCUAUGCCACAACACCCUGCUUUUUGUGUUUUUCAAGGCAACGGUGUUUAGAGGUGAUCUCUGCAGCACCUGAGUCAGAAGAGUGGAACGAGAGGCUAUGUUUUGUUCUUUAUAAAUGCUUUACUGACAAGGGGUGAUGGGCUAGUUGUUUUUUAAUAAGGAGGUGAAUUAUUACUUUGCCUUCAACUCGUAAGCACCCUCUUUUGAAGGGAACAUGAACAAUCUCGUUGCCAGUACUUUCUCAGUUAAGCACCUAGAUUCGAUGAACUGUUCUGAUUCAGCGAACCGUUGUCAAUCUCACUUUUACCUGGGUGAAAAUAACAGUGGGGACCUAGGGUUACAGUAACCUUAGAACAGGUCGACAACAUCCUCUGCUGGCAGGAAACGAGGUUGGCUUGCCUCACUCCAGGUCAGAAUAUGCAUGAAAACACACUAGGUAGUUAUUCAUAUUAUCACUUUUCUGGGGGUUUCAAUUUUUUGUCAUGACCAAAAGGGUCAAUGAAAAUAUUCCAUUGGCCACAAAGGGUGAACUUUGUUUUGUAUUUUGUACAUUCCUGUGUGAUUUAGAAUUCUCUAAAUUUUAUUUUAUUCUUUUUCAUUUUCUUGAAUUAAAUCCAAUUGUUUUGGUCCUCAAAAAUUUUAUAGAGCUGAACGUGUACAUAUGUGUUAUAUAUGCUCUGAAUGUGAGUAUGUAUAUGUGUGUGUGUGUAACAUGUUAUCUGUAUAUGUAUGUAUGCCCAUAUAUACAUAUAUAUGUGCACAUCAUAUGUACACAUGUGUUACAUGUCAUCUGAAUGUGCAGGUUAGAAGAGUUGGUUGGUUCACUCUUUCCUGUGUGUGGGUCCAGGGAUUGAUGUCAGGAUACCAGACUUGGCUGAAAGCCCCUAGACACUGAGCCAUCUUGCCUGCUUUGAUCAGGAUAUUUAAAUUCUUCAGUUUGCUGAUUAGUAGUGAGAUCAACUAUGGUUCCAACAUUAGACUGGUGAGUAUAGAUCAUCUAUGAGUCCUGCUUUCCCUCUGAAAGUUUACAAGAGAACCUUGUUUUGCCAACCAACAUACCCAGGUUUGCACAUUGCAAUGAAGAGAAUGAGCUUAAUCUUUUUGGUGAACUCACCCUGUAACCCGCUGCAAGGGAACAAAAGCUGUAAGAUUAUUUUAAUGAAUUUGUGUGGUAUGAUGUAUGCGUGCAUUCUUCUUCAUAUGUGGAUGUACAUAUGUGUGUAAAGGUCAGAGGUCAGUCAGGUGUCCUCAAUCACACUCCUCCUUGUUUUUAGACUUAUUUAUUUGUGUGUGUAUGCAUGUAGGAUGGGUUAUGUGUCUGUUUGAAUGUGGAUGUGUAUGUUGGGGCAGGUUGUACCUAUGUUGAUGCCAGAUCAAAAUUCUUCAUUCUAAUGUGGAAAACAUUCUUGAUCAAGCCCGAGCUCCUAGCUUCUAAGGACAUGGCUUUUUCUAUGUGGUCAUAAGUGGCUUUUCCUGAGUUGCAUGCAAGGCCAUGCUUGGUUUUAUAACUCCACCAUGCUUUUUAUUAUAGGGAAGAACUCCAUAACCUAGUGACCUUUCUCUGUAGGUUUAUAUUAAGAGCAGCAUGUGUUUCUUCUACAUACAUAGCCUGUGAAAACUGAAGUGGAAUACAAACUAUCAUGUAUAACUCACUCUGUUAUCAGGACUGAGGCAAAUGUUUUCUCAGCUGUUGGGAAUGCGAUCCAAGGGCCUUCAACUCUCCUGAGCUUAUGUCCUCUGACCAGGAUCCUAGUCCUUAGCCAAUGGGGAAUUUAAGGCUGGGCCUCCUGCUUGUUCCAGUUCAGGCUAAGACUUCAGGGUCAGGCCACUCUCCUGAGCCCCACACAGGGCUGCCUGCAUACUCUUGUGACUGCAAUAGAGGCAGAGUGCUCUCUGCCCAAUCCUCUUCUCUCCUCUUUGUCACAGCCAUGGACCCCAAGAGCACUUGUCAAAUACAUCUAUUUCUAUCUCAAAGUUAAGUUCCCAGAGAAUCAAUCCCCAUAACUGACCAUAAAUGAGGAUUCCCUCUGUGUAUGUAUAUAUAAUGUUGUAGAACACAGAAUAGGGAUUCUUGGUGAAAGCUUUGUGGAUAUGUGUCUUUCCUAGAUGUUUUUGCACUGGGAUUUUCUACAUGACUUAGAUAUCCUUGCCAUGAGGUCAUUACCCGCCACCUUGCCAUUUCAGUUUUGUUUUUCUUUUGGAUCCUAAUGCUGUUUGACAUAAGAUCCAAGGCUGAACUUCCAUACUGGGCUAUGGUUUCAGACUUGAUUUAUAGCCAUGUCGCCCUCGGGUUGCUUCCUUUUGAUCCUAGAGGUUUAUUAAUCUUUCUCGAAAGGCUUCCAGUACUUGAUAGGAUUGUGCUAUAUGCUGUCAGAGCAGAGUUACACAAAAUUCAUAUGCUGACCUUCCUCUGAUGGUGCUUACCAUUUCCAAGUCCUCAAACAGGGCAGCGCUUGGAAAAAAAAAAAACAAAAACAAAAA